rnacentral:rRNA from 1 species
UACGGAGGGUGCAAGCGUUAUCCGGAUUCACUGGGUUUAAAGGGUGCGUAGGCGGCUUAAUAAGUCAUUGGUGAAAGCUCGCAGCUCAACUGCGAAACUGCCAUUGAAACUGUUUAGCUUGAAUGUGGUUGAAGUGGGCGGAAUACAACAUGUAGCGGUGAAAUGCUUAGAUAUGUUUUAGAACACCGAUUGCGAAGGCAGCUCACUAAGCCAAUAUUGACGCUGAGGCACGAAAGCGUGGGGAUCAAACAGG